AGAGUUUGAUCCUGGCUCAGGACGAACGCUGGCGGCAUGCUUAACACAUGCAAGUGGAGCGACGAACCUUUUAGGGGCAAAGCCGCGAACGGGUGAGUAACACGUGGGCAAUCUGCCCCGAUGACUGGAAUAACACGAGGAAACUCGUGCUAAUACCGGAUGUGCUUGCACCUCAUCAGAGGUGUCAGUAAAGGUAGCUUCGGCUAACCGCAUCGGGAGGAGCCUGCGCAGCAUUAGUUUGUUGGUGAGGUAACGGCUCACCAAGACUACGAUGCUUAGCUGGUCUGAGAGGACGAUCAGCCACACUGGAACUGAGACACGGUCCAGACUCCUACGGGAGGCAGCAGUGGGGAAUCUUGCACAAUGGGCGACAGCCUGAUGCAGCAAUGCCGCGUGAGGGAAGACGGCCUUCGGGUUGUAAACCUCUUUCAGUUGGGAUGAAGGUUGGACGGUGAAUAGCCGCGUCAACUGACCGUACCUUCAGAAGAAGCCCCGGCUAACUACGUGCCAGCAGCCGCGGUAAUACGUAGGGGGCAAGCGUUGUCCGGAAUCAUUGGGCGUAAAGCGCGUGUAGGCGGUUACGUAAGUCUGCUGUGAAAGUCGGAGGCUCAACCUUCGAAUGCCAGUGGAUACUGCGUGACUAGAGUUCGGAAGAGGCAAGUGGAAUUCCUGGUGUAGCGGUGAAAUGCGCAGAUAUCAGGAGGAACACCAACGGCGAAGGCAGCUUGCUGGUACGACACUGACGCUGAGACGCGAAAGCGUGGGGAGCAAACAGGAUUAGAUACCCUGGUAGUCC
rnacentral:rRNA from 1 species